AUUGAACGCUGGCGGCAUGCUUUACACAUGCAAGUCGAACGGUAACAGGCCUUCAGGUGCUGACGAGUGGCGAACGGGUGAGUAAUGUAUCGGAACGUGCCCAGUAGUGGGGGGAUAGCCCGGCGAAAGCCGGAUUAAUACCGCAUGAGAACUGAGGUUGAAAGCGGGGGACCUUCGGGCCUCGCGCUACUGGAGCGGCUGAUAUCAGAUUAGGUAGUUGGUGGGGUAAAGGCUCACCAAGCCUGCGAUCUGUAGCUGGUCUGAGAGGACGACCAGCCACACUGGGACUGAGACACGGCCCAGACUCCUACGGGAGGCAGCAGUGGGGAAUUUUGGACAAUGGGCGAAAGCCUGAUCCAGCCAUUCCGCGUGCAGGAUGAAGGCCCUCGGGUUGUAAACUGCUUUUGUACAGAACGAAAAAGCUCUUUCUAAUACAGAGAGUCCAUGACGGUACUGUAAGAAUAAGCACCGGCUAACUACGUGCCAGCAGCC
rnacentral:rRNA from 1 species